UACGUAGGGGGCAAGCGUUGUCCGGAUUUAUUGGGCGUAAAGAGCGUGUAGGCGGUUUGGUAGGUCCGUUGUGAAAACUCGAGGCUCAACCUCGAGACGCCGAUGGAAACCAUCAGACUAGAGUCCGGAAGAGGAGAGUGGAAUUCCUGGUGUAGCGGUGAAAUGCGUAGAGAUCGGGAGGAACACCAGUGGCGAAGGCGGCUACCUGGACCAGCACUGACACUGAGGCACGAAAGCGUGGGGAGCAAACAGG
rnacentral:rRNA from 1 species